GACGAACGCUGGCGGCGUGCUUAACACAUGCAAGUCGAACGGAAAGGCCCUGCUUUUGUUGGGUGCUCGAUUGGCGAACGGGUGAGUAACACGUGAGUAACCUGCCCUUGACUUUGUGAUAACUUCAGGAAACUGGGGCUAAUACCGGAUAGGAGCUCCUGCUGCAUGGGGGGGGUUGGAAAGUUUCGGCGGUUGGGGAUGGACUCGCGGCUUAUCAGCUUGUUGGUGAGGUAGUGGCUUACCAAGGCUUUGACGGGUAGCCGGCCUGGGAGGGUUACCGGCCACAUUGGGACUGCGAUACGGCCCAGAAUCCUACGGGCGGCAGCAGUGGGGAAUAUUGCAGAACGGGCGGAAGCCUGAUGCAGCAACGUCGCGUGCGGGAUGCCGGCUUUCGGGUUGUAAACCGCUUUCGUAUGUGACGAAGCGUGAGUGACGGUAAUGGGUAAAGAAGCAACGGCUAACUACGUG
rnacentral:rRNA from 1 species